GUCCACACUGAUGCGCAUCUCUAAUUCACAUUUUCAGCUUGCGUGUUGGCCAUACGGAAUAAGAAAUUAGUGAAAAUAAAGGACUUCCAUAUACGCAAGGCAGCCCAAGUGUAACGGAACUGAGAGACUAAUCCCCCAGUUACCACGCAGGCCUCAGCUGAACAAGAAGAAGAAGACGAAGAAGCAACCCAACCGAACGGAAGGAACGCCUCCACUCGAGUCUCAACGCAACCUACCCUACUGUGCGUGCGUGCGUGCGCGUGUGUGUUGUCAGAUUUGUGUGUGUGUCCCGUUUCUGUGUUGAAGGAUCAGGCCAGAUCCGACCAGGAGGAGCAACCAGCAACCAGCGGUAUCCCCCAAACGACCGACCACCACCACACACUAGAGAGAGCUCGCUCGUUGCACCUGUGUUCACAGCUGCAAUUUAUAUUUCGCCCCGAGUUGAUCUAGAAAAAUCAUCACCAUUCCUCUAUCAACGUACGACGCCGCUCCCCUUUUGCACUCUUACGACGACAGUCCGCAACGUUGGGAGCACACCAACGUGCACCAGGCAGGCGUCAUCAUAGAUCAGUUUCGGAGCGGUAAAACGAUCACCAUUGAGGGAGGCACCAGCACCGGUGAUACGACGAGCAUCGGCGGCGGCAGCGAUUUAAGACUGGUAAUAACGGCGAACCCCAGCGAGAUCGAGCGCAAUUACGAUCAGCUUACCAAUCGUGGUGGCGGCGGAGGCGGUGGCGUUAUAAGCGUCAGCUGCGGUAGCCAAACCCCACCGACACCAACGGUCGGGAAAACCCUGCUCAAUACCAGUCCCAAUCUUUUGCCGAUUACCACAGCGACAGAUACGUUCAACAAUCUUAAGAAUCUGGUAAAGAUCGACAAGGGCUCAACACCCGCAUCGAACCAAGGAGGCGUCAACUAUCGCAAGGGCUCGAACAGUUCUAGCUACAAGUCCGGCGGUGCAGUAUCCCCAGCCAUAAGCAACAGCAGCGAGGGUUUAGGUGGUAGAAACGGCAGCCGUUCAUCUGGUGGCCCAACUGGACACUUUUCCACUGGCUAUAGUAAAAAUUCCGCCAAAAUUCGUCAACACGAUAGUGAGGUGAGCCCAAGACCUCGACGAUCUUACCAGGGUGACUCGUCGUCGUCGCGUUACUAUCAAAAGAAUAGUGACAUUUUGGGUCAAAGCAUCAACAACCAGCAGCUCGGCAGCUCCGACAGCUACAACGGCUCUGGACGAUAUUCUUCGAGUGAUCAGCAAGGCGGAGCUCAUCGUGGUAGUCGCAGCUAUCACUCCAACUCCGAUGACAGCUAUAAUAAUCGAUCAAUAAACUCCAACUCCACCGGCGGUCCUGCUGGCGGAAGUAGUGGCGGCGGCGGCGGUGGCAGUAAUUACCGCUCAUCCCGCAACUACGAGAACGGCAAUGGAAGCAACGGACAACAGUCGCGUUACGGCAACUGCAACUCCUCGUCCAACUACAACGGAGCUGCAUCUAACUCAAUUAACAAGUCGUCGUACGGGCAUUCGCGUGGUGGCAACGAUGGAGUCGUGAGCGGAGUUCGUCGCGAAGAAUACCCCAA